rnacentral:sRNA from 1 species
AUGGCAGAUUCGCAGUCGGAUUCAAACGCCUUUAGCGUACGGAUCGUCUCCGUCGAUCACUACAUGGCUCCGCCGAUCCAUGGCCUUGAUAUCUCUUACAGUUCCUUCCAAGGUACUCUCUACUUCACUCUCAAACGACGCCGUUUAAUUCCUUUUUUAUUUUUAUAUUAACUGUAAUUUGUUUAUAUGUUUGAUAUUAGGAAUAGAAUUCUCAAUUGAAAAGAAAGUGAAACUCAUUUCACAAAUUUUGGGAAAUAUAUAUUAUGAAUUAAUGAAUUUACAUUUAUUUUUUUGGGGCAAAAAUACAGUUACCAAGUUGAAAUUUUGUCAACUUUUACAAAAACUAUCAUUUUAGUUCCUCUGUCCAUUGUUAACUGUUAACAAUGUUGUUUUAAAUCAUCUUCUAAUGUUACAAAUGCUGCAAAAAACGUGAUUUUGAAACUCAAGACGCUGUUUAGCGGCAGCAACUCCUCAUAGCAUUUUUACUAAUGCUCAUUUUAAACCCAAAACGGCGUUUCGCAACAGCUUAUUCAAACACACCCUAGAAUGACAACUUAAACGGAAUUAUAUAUAUCGUGUAAUUGUAUUUUUCACCUUUUUGUUUUUAAGAUGAUUUUAUACUUAUACUUACUAUUAGAUAUGUUAUUGGAAAAUUGGGUUAACCUAAAAUUGAGUUCUCUAGUAUAUAAGCUUUACAUUGGCUUCUUCAUUUCGUUAAGUUGAAUAAACAAGAUGUAGUCAUCAAGGGCAAGGCCAAACUACGUUAAAUUCUUGCUUCCGCUUUUUCCUUUUUUUUUCUUCCAAUUGCUUGACAACUUUAACACAUACUAUUGUAAAGAAAGUAAGAUUUGGUUUUUUCAAAUUUUGAUUUACCUAAAAAGUCCUUGUUAAAUAGUUAGAAACAGACGGGUAAUAUUAAAAUAUUUAUAACUGCACAGAUUGUAGGUAUAAUAGAAUUUUACUUAAUUAUUUUUAUUAUUAAAAAAAAAAAGUCUUUGAGAAUCCGUGAAGACUCUUGCACACUUUGCUGUGGUGAAAAAUGUUCAAGUUAAAAUGUAGUUAUUCAUUUUUCCUGGGAACCAAACAUAGAGCUAGGAAAAUGGCAUUCACAGAAAUGUACAUUAGGUGUUAAGUGGUUUUUUGAAUUCUUGAAGGUGGCAAAGUGAACGAGGUUCCUGUUAUAAGAAUAUAUGGUUCUACACCAGCUGGACAGAAGACUUGCUUGCACAUCCAUGGGGUAAGAUCAUUCCUGUUUUUUUGGCUUCUUAUUGAACGUUAUCAAAAGCUUGGAUUCGUCAAUUUUCCUUAAAUGCAGUAGUUUAAAUAGGCAUAUCAAAGAUUAUGAAGUUAUAUAUUUCUCUUUUUGGUUACGUUAAGAAAAUGGAGGGAAAAUUAGGACAUGCGUUUUCUUCUUCAAUAUCAAAAUUUUAGCCCUGCCUACUUUGAAGUGAAAUUUGGUGGGACUAAAGGAUAUUCCAAAUCCACCUUUCAUUUUUUUUUCUCUCUUUUCAAUUGCACAUUGGAAAAAUUUAUUUCUAAAAAAUUAUCUUCUUUUCCAUUUUCUGGUGGUGAAUCAACAUUGUGCUAAAGGCGAGUCCAAAGGGUUCUUCUUUAGAAAGGGUCCCUACGUUAUCAAGAAAAAAAUGUUUGAAAUAACAGAUAUUGUAUGCUAUGUAAAGCAAUAAUUCAUGUAUAGAGUACUUUAAGCAUAUGAAGAGUGUUUCAAAUUUACUCUUCCUUUCUUUCUUUAUUAGUACAUUGUUAUUCUUGACUAAAUUAUCCAUAUUUUUUGCAGGUUUUACCCUAUUUAUAUGUGCCUUGUGCAGAUAUAUCGCUUCAACCACAAGAGGAAGGUAGAUAAUAUUUUUUGAAUUAAGCCAAUGGAAUAAAAAUUGGAUUUAUGUAGCCGCUCCUAGUUAGUCAGGGUCAAUUUUUUUUUAGUUGAUAUUGUGAAUUUGUGCUAUAUUUUUUUAUUUAUCUCUUAAUUUCAUUUUGGAUGUGAUAUCUUCUUCCAUCCUAAUGUGAAAUUAAGUUUGUCUGUCCUGAUGUUAAGAUGCGCUGUGAUUUUUGCCGUCUGGUUUUCUGAAUUUAUCCUUUUUCUUGUUAAUAUGCAUAGGUGAUGCAUACACACAUGCUGUAUCUCUUGCUCUUGAGAAAGCUUUGAAGGUAUGCUUGGUUGCAACAGGUUUUGUUCUAACCUCUGUGUUGUUUGUUAAUUGGUGUUUCUGCAAUUUGUCCUUUGCAUUGCUGAUCCUGCAGGCAUCAUAUGUUUUUGCUUUGGUUUGAACUCUUACAGCUUAAAGGUAAUGUUGGUUCAAAGCGACAGCAUGUACAUGGUUGCAGCCUUGUACGAGCAAGGAAAUUUUAUGGUUACCAUUCAUCUGAAGAGCUUUUUUUGAAAAUACAUCUGUAUCCAAACAUUAUACUAUCUUUCUUAGAGUUCUCUUAUAUUCAUAUAAUAGUCUAAGAGUAUGUUUAUUGAACACCUUGACAAAGAUAUAGCUAUUAUCCGCAUGAUGUCUCCCGUGCUGCCAAACUUUUUUUGGUACGCUUCUUGAACCUUUGACUGAUGCUCAGUUGUUUUUUGGAAUCCUUUUGUGGUUAGUAUGGUUUUUUUUUUUUUUUAAACUACUUUAUCCAUGCUUGCUCACUUAGUGGAGCUUUUUUCCUUUGCCACGGCAAUUUCUUGUCAAUUUCUUUUUUUGAUAAGUUCUAUCAUGGUAUUUUCUUCUUAUGUACUUUACUGAGAUUCCUUUACUUAUAAGCUCUGUUUGUUUUGAUGGAAAACUUUGUGUAAAUAUAUUUUUCCUUGUUUUCCAGUGUUUGGUAGCAUCAGAAAAAAUAAUUUAAAGGAAAAUUAUCUUUGGUCAACAAAAAAGUAUGACUUAUUUUUAGAGAUUGUUUUCAACUAAUUUUUUUUGGAAAACAACUCUAUUUCAUAGCAAGCUAAAUAAAAGAAAUUGAGAGAUUGUUUUUCAACUCAUCUAAGGUGCUACCAAACAUAGGAAAAUGAAAUUUUUUUAUAGAAAAUACUUUUUAGAAAAUGAUUCAUUUUCUAGAAAACAUUAUCGCCGAAACAAACAAAGUGAUAAUGUAUAAUUGUACAUUUAAGGUUUGUGUUGUAGAUGAUUUUUCAUCAAGCAUAUAGGAUGCGAUCCUUUAUGGUUAAUGUGCAUGAUUUGGAGUACUUUCAAAAAUAAUUUCUCUCUCUCUCUCUCCUAGAAUUUUAAGAGUGAUGCAUAUUAAUCACUGCCCUCCUUUCAAAUGUUGCGACCAAUUGGUUGGAAUUUAUUGUGACUUUUGCAAGUUAGAUUAAGAGAAGUAUUGUUUGUAGAAGUUUUUGUCACCCAAGCAUCCACGUUUUUUAGUUAGGUGAUCUCUGACGAUAUAUUUGUUCAGUGUUUAGCAUACAAAUGCAUCACUUAUUUUACUGUUUGUAGAUAUUGCACGGACAAUGUCACCUAUGUUUGAUUGAGAUUUUUUUUUAUGGCCUCUAAAUUUUGAUUAAAGGUGAAUUUUAUUUAGAUUCAUCGUUUUAUUUUCUUUUUGCAGAUGUGUUAGAAUGCCUGUUUUUUAAAAUAGUAAUACUUGCUUUUCAGGGUGGUGCAGUUCUUGAUGGAAGUUUACAGCCCUAUGAAUCGCAUAUUCCCUUUAUUCUCCAGUUUUUGGUAAAUGCUUCCCUAUGUUCAAAUUAUUUAUUUAUUUUGUUUUUGGGGGGUGUCUAAUAAAAUUGAAAACUGUGGUUCCCAAAUGAUUCUUAGUUUGUAAGAUACUUACAAUAUGGUUAUUUUAUGAUGAGGAAUGCUAACAUAGUCACCCACUAGGCAAUUGGCAAUGAGGUGCCGGUGGGUUGGCAACAUGUGCACUCUUGGCACCCACUAUUUUUAUGCUCCUCAUAAGACAUUUAUGAGGUGGGUCCCAUUGUGAUGCAUUUUUCUGACUCACAAUUAAUAUUCAUUCUUGUGCAAUGUUUGCAUACUUCAAUUCAAUUUCUUUAUUGUUUUACAUUUUAUGAGAUCUAAGCUUUUCUUUUUGUCAGAUUGAUUAUAACUUGUACGGGAUGGGCCAUAUGCAUUUAUCAAAGAUGAAGUUCCGUCAUCCAGUACCAGACACUUUCUCACCAAGGAAAUUUGAUCAUAUUGGUCUGCAUAAACAGCAUAUGACCUGCAUGCCUACUGAUUUCCAGGUUAUCUUUUCCUCUCUUUUCUGUGCCAAAUGCUUUUGGGAUGAACGUAAAUGUUUGUCUGCCAUAAUUAUGUGAUAUUCAUUAAUGAUGUGUGAAUUUACCAUUAGGAAGACCCAAGUUGUGAUGCAUCUUUAAGUUCACCGAUUUGGAUAUCGUCUACAAUUCCAGCUGAUUGGAUAUGGCAAUUUCCUAGUGAGUUUGAGGCUUCCUCACACCAAGAUAUUUAUUGCAAUAAACGUCAAAGUGUCUAUGAACUUGAGGGGGAUGCUUCCAUAGAUGGUUUGUUUGACUUUGCAGUUAUAUCACAUAAGUUUUUUAAGAUUCUCUUUAUAGGUUAAUGUGAGAAUUGUCCUUUUGGGUUUUGCAGACGUUCUUAACCAGCAGUUUAAAAAUUAUUCAUCCCUCUCACAAACCCUUUCAGAAGUGAAAAUGGUUCAAUCACUUGUGCCAAUAUGGGAGGUCUGUUUUAGUCAUAUCCAUUUUCUGCCUUUUAAGAGUCUUUUGACAUUUUAUAUUGUUUGAUCAUUUGAUGAAUUUCUCCUUGGUGUUCUAGGAGUAUGAAAAGACUGGAAUGCAUGAGGUGAUAAUGCCUCCUGAUCUUGGCAAACCACCUCCACAAGAUGUUCUUAAAACUCUCUCACUAGGUCUUGAAUUUGAGAACAAACUUAUUGAAUUGUGUGGUGAAGCAGAAAACUCUUUGACUUUGACUCCAUUUGGGAAAAAUGUGAAGUUAAAGCAGUCAAUGACAUCAUCAACUAAUGAAGGAAAUUUGGUUGGACUUGGACAUGUUAACCCUAACAACAUAGAUGGAGAACCUUCAAAGAAUGCUAAAGAAAAAGAAAUAAUUGGAUCUUUGUCACCACAAGUUUCAAUAUGUGAAGAAGAUGGUCCGAUACUCACUGAAGGGAGGGAUACAUGUAUUAAGCCAUUAUCUAUUGAUGAAAUGAGGUCAUCAGCAAUUACUGAAUCAUUAGAUGCAAAGGUAAUUCAUCAUGAGGUUGCAUGUUUAUUCUCCUGGAUGUUGGGCCUUUUCACUUUUAAGCAUAAGUUUUCUUUUGACCAUGUGACAUGAUGGGGUCCUUUGCUAGUUUAUGGUAUUGGACAUGGAAGCUGCAAUACUGUCUUGAAUGCCUUUUGGUUUCUUCUAAGUGUUUUCUUACACCAUCUCUCUCUCUCUCUCUCAGACUGAGAUAUUUAGAACUCGUGUAAUUGUACCUUAAUGGUGUUUGUUUGGUUGGUGAAAUGGUGUACAUUAUUUACUAGACAUCUCAUGUGUUCUUAAAAUCCAUGUGUUGUAUUCAGGCUGCAGAUAAGGAAGCCCUCAGUCUUCUACGGUGGCUUGCCACAUCUCAGGCUGCUGAAGAUAUAAAUUCUGACGAUGAACUUGUUCGUGAAACUGUUCUAAGUCCUUUGUUGCCUACAACAACCAUUGAUAAGGUGCUGGAGAAGGCUAAUAUGGAUUAUGAGAGCGAGUCUCAGAAGGAGUGUCAAGACAUUCUUGAUUCAAUUGAUGACUUGAUUAAUUUUGAGGGCCUGAAGGAGAGAGCUUCUCAUUGCUCUGAUCAGAAUCGUUCUUCUAUUAGUUCAUCAGAGAAAAUGAUUCCACAAGUAGAUGGCUCUGCGGAUGAUCUAAUCUCAAUUUCUUGUGCUGAAUCAACAGGAAAUUCAUCCAAAACAGUGAUGAAGCAUGAAUUUGAGAGGUCUUCAGAGUGCCAGUCGUUGCAGGAUUUUGGUUCUAGGCUCACCGUUAAGCACAAAAGAAAGCAAUCUAAAUGGGGUUCAUUACCAUUUUCCAAGGUGCAAGAGGAGAAGAAUGAUUUGGAGCCUGUUGGUCUCCACAUGAUUGAUGCUUGUGUUCGUGAAACUAAAGAUCCUGUAGGUACAAGUUUUUUGGCUGGAAAUGAGGCAGAAAAUUGUGCAGAUAGUUCUAUGAAAAAUGUUGAUACAGAUGUUCAUGAUCUAAAGGAAUCAAGCCCUUUGGUUGGAUGCUCUGUGCGAGAUUUGAUGAGAAGAAAGAGAUCCCACCUAGUCGAACCACAUGAAGGUGGGUCUGGAAGAACUAAAAAGAUGCUUUUGGAAGGGGAGCAAAGAGAAGGUCUUUUUCUCUGCCCAAGAAGAUUAAAUGAUGAACUAGACAAAAUCCCUAUUGAGUCCCUCAAUUUGAAGAAAUCUCUUGCAGGCCAACAAACAAAUUUCUGUGAGACUUAUGAGGUCAAAGCAGCACAUUCCGAUUCUUCCUUUUAUGGAAAACUGCCUCUUUUGUACAGCAGUGACUUCUCUUCACAGGCUAGUAGGUUGAAAGACGGCCAUUCUGGUUCUCAUGAAAAAGUUGGUGAUGGGUUCAGAAUAGGAGCCAAUACCACUCCUGUGGAUUUCACAGCAACAAGUCCUCAAGUGCAUACACAAGCAUGGAUUUCUAAGCCCAAGACUAUAGAUUCUGCAGCUUCCAUGGGCCAUUCUCAAAUUUACAAUGUUAAAGAGUCUGGUGUAACUGCCAUGGUUAUUGAGAGAUUUCAACAAAUAGAUGUUGUUGCUUCAAGCUGUUUGCAAACGGGUCUGGUUGAAUGUGAAGUAUCUGGUGCAGAUUGUUCCAUCUAUGGAAGUGGCCAUAAAGAUGAACCAUCUUUGGGGUGGGUACAUGAUAAAUCUUUUGAGAAUCUUGCGGGCACAAAUGCCACAACCGACUCAAUGGAUCUGCAAAAUCAGAAUUGCCGUGGUGGAAAACAAUUAGGGGAUUUUGUUUUAUCUGGGUUUGGCAGCUCAGAAUCUGUAGUUGUCAACACUCAGGCAAAAUGUACGGAACUAAUUGGUAUGACCUUUUGCAAGAAACCCCCCAUUGCAGACUGGACAGAUAGGGCAUUUGAAAAUGCUUCAUUUACACUUACCAUCUCUAAUCCAGAGGAGGAUAAUUUUGAUGGAUCAUCAGGUUACAAAGUUUCUUGAUAGCAUGCAAUACCUCCAAUUUUUUUUNNNNNNNNNNNNNNNNNNNNNNNNNNNNNNNNNNNNNNNNNNNNNNNNNNNNNNNNNNNNNNNNNNNNNNNNNNNNNNNNNNNNNNNNNNNNNNNNNNNNNNNNNNNNNNNNNNNNNNNNNNNNNNNNNNNNNNNNNNNNNNNNNNNNUUUAAUAGGGACAGUUAUGGAUAAUAUUUCCCCUUUCUUUGAGGGAAAUUGUCGAGAAGCGAAAGAAGUCAUGGACAGUCAUGCUAGAAUUAGUGGCUCUGAUUCUGAUCAAUUUGUCAUGGGCAUCCCUACUCACUGUCAAAAUGAUGGCUCUUACUUGUACCUCUUAACACCUGUAUUAUCACCUCCUUCUACAGAUAGUGUAUAUAGAUGGCUAUCCUGUGAUGACAAAGGUUCUCUAGAACUAGUAAAUUUGUUUGUUUUUUUUAAUUUAUUUAUCCAUUUAAGACUUUAAGUAAAUGCAUUGGCUCCCUAUUAUUAUUUAUUUAAAAUUCCCAAUUUGCUAUCAUUUGGUUUUGAAUUUUUGGGUUCUUCUCGAGGGAGCAAUGUAGAAUCAGUGGAGCCAUCACCUUUGAAUGGUAAUUUACUUUAGUAUUAUUUGUGUAAUUUCUAUGAUUCCUAAACUAUCAUCUUGAGUUUCAUUUGUCCUCCCUAAAAUUUAGAACUCAGCAACCAACCUCUUGACGUCACUCAAAAUACCAAAUAGGCAGUUGUUAUAAUUGUCAUCAAGUAGGAGCAGAUUAUUGAAGAAAUGUAUCAACCCCUCCCCCCACCCCCACCCCCUAGCAAAAAAAAAAGAUACAAGAUACAUCCAAAGCUCUCUUCAGCUUUUUCUCUUUCUCAGGUUCAUUAAAUUGCUCUUAAUUCAAUGAUAAUUGGAAUUGUAAGGCACUUUUCGAUGUUAUGAGAUUAGGGGGUUGCUUGCUCGAUUUAAACUUUAGGAAGAUAUUGUAACUCAGGUUAUAGUUUAGGGUGGAUGUUUGCAAGCUACCCAUGUUAAUUUGUGGGAAGAAUAACAUUUACAUUUGCAAAUGAGAAACUUCUUAUCAAUUCUGUGACACUUUGCUGGUUCAGCUAGCAGUUUGAUUGGUUCUCAAAGUUCUUUGCCUAAUGAUUAUGAGAAGGCACAAAGCUUUUUCCUUGAUAGUUCCGACAAGGAUAUGCCUGAAUCUAGUUCUGGAUCUCAUGUGGAGCCUAUUUUGGAUCGUUUGUAUCAUGAAAACCCCAGAAACCUUAAUGCAGAAAGGAGUCCAUUUGGUGAUGGGGUGACAGCAAUAAUCCAGGGUGGAGGAGGUAUUGCAAAAGAAAAAUCAUGCUCUGAUUCCUCACACGACAUGUCUCAGAUUUCAGGACCGGAUGGGAAAUCAAAGCCUACUCCUCUUAGUCAAAGUGGGUUUCAGGAUCCUGCAAGCGUUGGUGGUGGACAACAAUUGACAUUGUUAAGUAUAGAGGUAUCGGACUACUUUUUUUGUUUAUGUUUGAUAUUUUUGCAAAACUAGACGUACUUUUCUAAAUUAGAUUCAAAAGAUAUGUUAUCUCAAACCUAAAUUCCCAUGGCUUUUUUUUUUUUUUUUUUAAUUUUUUUUUUUAUGUUUUUUGGAGAACAUUCCCUUGGGUUUGUAUGCUUAAUGUUUUACAUGAUUAUUCAAAAUACUCUUCCAUAUUUCUAUACACAUAAAUAUUUACAAUUUGAUUAUGAUAAUGCUUUGCAUUUGAAGGUUGUUCUUUUUAAGUAGGGAGUUCAUACUUUCUCAUGCUCUUCGCACUUGGAAAUUGGUCAUUCAGACGAUAAUAUGACGUUAUCCUAGAUCAGUUUAGUUUGGUACGAAAGUAUAGCACCAUCUUAACUUUGCCAACAUCUAUACUGUCAAGUCAACUUGAUAGUAUUUCAAGAUCAGGAUGAGUUAGAGAGAAAAGUUUUGGCUUCUUGUUCUUUUUUAGGAUUAUAAUAGUACAUUUCCUUUUCCUUCUAAAGUUGUUUAGUGAUGAAUUCACUUACCUCUAAUUUUAAAUUAGUAGUAUCAUAUCAAGUUAAGCUUUUUUAAAACCUCACUUUUUCUCACUUUUUUGAAAUACAAAUAUAUUUUAGCACAUUUUCAGCAAAAAAAUUUCAGGAAAAAGCUAGAUAAGUUGUUCCCAAACAGACACCAAAUUAUGUAUUGUCAAAUAUUUAUCAAUUAGUUUUUUUUUUUUUCUUUUUAAUAAUUGGUAUAAUUUGUGUGUAUCAUUGGAGUAAGGAAAUUUUCAAUAUCUGCUUGAAAAAUUAGUCAUGGUCUCUCUCUUUCCUUAGGAAAUGUAUUGGAUUAUGAAUCCAUUGUGGUAUGUCUUGGUAUAUACUGAGACUUAUAUUGUGUGUUCAUUCUAUAACCAGAUAAUUAGAACUUUAUUUAUGCUUGUUAUUACUUUUGGAUAAAAUGAUCUGUCUAUAAAUUCUCCCUUACAAUUUUAUAAUGGGAAUAGGUUCAAGCUGAAUCUAGAGGAGAUCUCAGACCUGAUCCUCGAUUUGAUGCCAUCAAUGUAAUAGCACUCACUAUUCAGAAUGAUACAGAUUCCAUUCCUGAAGUUUAUGUGCUUUUACGUAGUAAAACUGAAGCUUUUAAGAGGUAUGGUUGCUGAUAAUCAAAUUGAGAUUUCAUGUAAUUUUUCUCUCCAUUGUUUGUUUUGUGUUGAGUGUGACUUGAUGUUUUAAAUUUUUGUAAUGUGGACAACUGUUGAUAGGUCUGGUCUGCAAGUUGAAAAAUCAACUCAUAUGUUCUAUUUCUUGUGCUGGAAAUGUGAACAUAAGAGAAUGGAAUAAUAACUAACCUUUUGAUAAAAAUGCAUUUAUAGCCCUCAAAUUUUCACUAGUGCCAAUGAACUCUAACUCAAUGUCAAUCCCUUCUCAUGUAAGAAUGGGUGAAGGGUAAGAUAGUGGGUUUACAGCAUACUGGGUGUAUAGCUAACUUAAUAAUUAAAGAAUAAAAUUAAGCCCACUGAACUAAAUUAUCAAUCAAUUUUACCCAUAAGCUGACUCAGGUGCAAAUAGAUACUUCUAUUUUGUUACUCUCAAGUCAAAUUGAGAAUGGGGGGUGACCAUGUGAAUGUCUCAUGGCCACUAAAGGCACUUAAGGGUAAUACCCAUGCCCAUACCCUUGAGAAAAAUAAAAGUUUUCCCUAAAUAUUGGUGAAAGUUGGAUGGGUGUUGGUGCAUUUUAGCCAAACAUCUGCAUGUUUAUUGCAAUGGACUGAAAUAUAGGGAAAGAAGAAUUUUUUUUUUUUUUUCAUAUAUAUAAUGAUGGAAUAAGAUAAGAAGAUAACUUCUAGCACCACAACAAAGUUUGUUUUGUUUGUUGCUUCUCUAUAUUUUGAAGACUAGGGGGCUGCUUCCGUUUUGUAUCUUCCCUCCUAUUACUUUGAUGAAUAUCUUUUUUCCUUCCUCUCCUUUUAAUUCUUUUUCUCUGGCCUAAUAAAAUUAUUAACCAUCUGUAAAAGAAGCGGAAAAGUGGGCAAUUAAUAAGAAUGAGGGGAACCCAUACAGCCGUUACAGCUAUUGUUACUUUCUUAUGUAUCACCCUGCUUGAAUGUUCCUUAAAUAACAUGCAUGGUACUAUGUGUGUGUACACGCUUGUGAUUUUUACUAGUUGGUUGCUUUUGGUUUUUGAGUUAAAUUUAGGUGGGCUAUUCUUACACAUUUUUUUCCUUAUAUUCAUUACAUUUUAUAGCAUAAAAUUGGAAUAACCUGUUUAAAUGUUGUGUUGUGCACCUGACUAUGUAUGUUGCUGCCUCUUGGAAUGUUACAGUUGGUUUGGGCUACUUUGUGGCCUAUGCCAUAAACAUUGUUUGAUGCCUUCAUUAUUUUCUCUGUUAUGGAAGAUGGCUAUUUCCUAAUUGCUUUUUAUAAUCUUCAUUUAUUUGCAGGACUCUAGAUGGAAUAUCUGCCUGCAAGAUGUUGGUUUUCUCUGAGGAGAAGUACUUAUUGAGUCACUUUAUGAAGAUUGUCUGUUCAUCUGACCCAGAUAUAAUAAUGGGUUGGGAUAUUCAAGGUGGUUCUCUUGGUUUUUUGGCAGAAAGGGCUUCACAUCUCGGUAUAGGUUUACUCAAUAACAUAUCUCGAACACCAUCUGAAACCAAGAUAGCUGCUGGAGAUUUAGAUAUUUCUGAGAAAGGAAUUUUUGACAACUUAAUUCCUGAACAGUUAAAUACUGAUCCUGUGAUACUAGAAGAUGCCAUUAUUGAGGAUGAAUGGGGUCGAACUCAUGCCAGUGGUGUUCAUGUUGGUGGUAGAAUUGUCUUGAAUGUAUGGCGAUUGAUGCGUGGUGAAGUUAAGCUUAAUAUGUACACAAUUGAAGCAGUAGCCGAAGCUGUGCUGAGGCGAAAAAUUCCUUCAUUUCAUCACAAAGUACUAACAAAAUGGUUUUCUUGUGGUCCUGGACGAGGAAGAUUUAGAUGUAUAGAGUAUUUUAUAGAUAGAGCAAGAUUGAACCUUGAGAUAAUGAACCAACUUGAUAUGGUAGGAUACCAAACUUUGUCAGUUGAGUUAUGCAUUGUUGUCAUGAUAGAGGUGUAUUUGUCAUGCCCUAGCAUGGUUAGAGCUUCAAUUGUGUUAACCAAAGUCUUUCUGAUAUUCUUAGUUUUGAAUUUAAUGGGUUUUCUAUUUUUAAUUGUAAGUUCCUGCUUGAAUUAUCUUGAUAUGUGUUUUUGCAGAUAAAUCGAACAUCAGAACUUGCUCGUGUGUUUGGUAUUGACUUUUUCUCAGUUCUCUCUCGAGGUUCACAAUACCGCGUUGAAUCCAUGCUUCUGAGAUUGGCACAUACACAAAAUUAUCUUGCCAUAUCCCCAGGAAGUCAACAGGUUGCUUCUCAACCCGCAAUGGAAUGCCUACCACUUGUGAUGGAACCGGAAUCUGGUUUUUAUGCAGAUCCGGUUGUUGUUCUUGAUUUUCAGUCUCUCUAUCCUUCGAUGAUAAUUGCAUACAAUCUUUGCUUUUCUACAUGCCUUGGAAAAGUUGCUCCUUCAAAGGCAAAUACACUUGGGGUUAGUUCAUUUUCACCAGAUCCUUCUGUUCUACAGAGAGUGAAAAAUGAGAUAUUACUUACUCCAAAUGGUGUUAUGUAUGUAUCUUCAAAGGUCCGUAAAGGCAUAAUGCCCCGUUUAUUAGAGGAAAUAUUAUCAACUAGAAUAAUGGUGAAACAAGCUAUGAAAAGAUUGUCCCCCUUGCAGAAAAUUCUUCACCGGAUUUUUAAUGCAAGACAGCUUGCUUUGAAGCUAAUAGCAAAUGUAACAUAUGGCUAUACAGCUGCUGGAUUUAGUGGCCGCAUGCCUUGUGCAGAGCUUGCAGACAGUAUUGUUCAAUGUGGCCGUUGUACUCUUGAAAAGGCAAUUUCAUUUGUGAAUGCACAUGAUAAGUGGAAAGCUAAAGUUAUUUAUGGUGAUACUGACAGCUUGUUUGUCCUCCUCAAAGGACGCACAGUCAAAGAGUCUUUUCGAAUUGGGAAUGAGAUUGCCUCUGCAAUCACUGCUAUGAAUCCAAACCCAGUCACUUUGAAAAUGGAGAAAAUAUAUCAUCCAUGCUUCCUCCUUACUAAGAAACGCUAUGUUGGUUACAGUUAUGAGAGACCUGAACAGUCUGAACCUGUAUUUGAUGCUAAAGGCAUUGAGACAGUACGCAGGGAUACAUGUGGAGCUGUUUCUAAGACACUGGAGAAGUCGUUGAGACUCUUUUUUGAACAUCAGAACACUUCUGAACUUAAAGCAUAUUUGCAGCGCCAAUGGACCCGGAUUCUAUCUGGCAGGGUUUCUCUUCAGGAUUUUAUUUUUGCAAAGGAGGUUCGAUUAGGUACCUACUGUACAAGGAGCUCUUCAUCUCUCCCACCGGCAGCAAUUGUGGCCACUAAAGCAAUGAGAGCUGAUCCAAGGGCAGAACCACGCUAUGCAGAGCGAAUACCUUAUGUUGUAAUCCAUGGGGAGCUAGGGGCCCGCCUGAUUGAUAUGGUUGUGGAUCCGUUGGAACUUUUGGCAAUGGAUUCCCCCUUUAGAUUAAAUGAUUUAUAUUACAUCAACAAACAAAUAAUCCCUGCUUUGCAGCGGGUAUUUGGACUUGUUGGAGCUGACUUGAACCGGUGGUUUAUAGAGAUGCCCCGUCCAGUCAGGGAUGCCUUUGCUAAACGCCCCCUCUCUGCUCCAAAUGCACAACGAACCAGAAUUGAUUAUUACUAUCUCUCAAAACAUUGUAUUCUUUGUGGUGAGUUGGUCCAGGCAUCAACCCAUAUUUGCAAUCAAUGUUUGCUUAAGGGAGCUUCUGCUGCAGCAGCUGUGAUUGGAAGAACUUCAAAAUUGGAGAGAGAGAUGCAACACCUUGCUGCUAUUUGUCGACAUUGUGGAGGCAGUGACUGGGUUGUAGAAAGUGGAGUCAAGUGCACUUCACUAGCAUGCUCGGUGUUUUAUGAGAGGCGGAAAGUUCAGAAAGAACUACAAAGUCUUUCUUCUGUUGCUGCCGAUGAAGGUUUCUACCCGAAAUGUAUGGUUGAGUGGUUUUGAGCACUAGUCAUUCCAACAUGCUCUUCAACGGUGGGAAUUGAAAGGAAGGAUUUUCGUUGUUCAAUAUUCUCCACCCCGCAUAUUUUGGUUGUUCAAUAUUCUCCACUCCGCACAUUAUCUCCAUUGUUUGAAUGAGGUUACUGUUGUACUUGUACAUACGUUCUUCUUUACUUAGUCCUGUGUUGUAAGUUGUAUUUUGUGUUUUUUAGGUGAUUAAUCAUUUGUUGUAUAUAGCAACAAAGAAGUCUGAUGCUCAAUGUAAUCCUCUGUUUUGCUGUGAUGUUAAUACCGUACCUUGCUCAUACAAAAAAGUGGUCAAUGCUACUAACCCACAAGACUCUUAUGUACUGCUUGUUUGUUCUUAUAUAUAGCAACAAAGAAGUCUGAUGUCCAGUGUAUUUUAUGCUCCAUUUGUUUCAUUGAAAAAUUGUGUGAAAAAUAGUUUUUUGCAUUUUUCAGUAUUUGAUUGCUAUAAAAAAAUAAAAAAUAAAAAAACAAGUGAAAAGAAAAAUAUCUUUAAUAAACAGAAAAAGUAUAACUAAAUAAGAAAAGUUAAGAAAUUAUUUUUUAAUUCAUGUAAGAUUACUACUAAACAUAGGAAAAUGAGAUAGUUUUAUAGAAAAUAUUUUUUAGAAAAUGACUCAUUUUUGUAGUUUUGAUGGGUGAGAUAGUUUAUAGAAAAUAUUUUUUGAAAAAUGACUAUUUUUGUAGUUUUGAUGGGAUUUAUGCAGUGGUUUGCAUUCUUAUUUUCAAGUAGAUCGUGGUUUUAAAGUCAUUAUUCUUGUUAGAAACGAACAAAACCUUCAAAUUAUAAAUUCACUAAAAUGUCAGUUAAGCUUAACAAGAAAACUUAGUUGAUUAUUCUUGAAUAUAAGACAUUUAUGAGUUGGAAAUUGGAAUCAUUUAUCAUCUUGGUCAACAAGUAAAAGGCUCUUAGAAAUAUAUACAAAAAAGUUACAUCUAGGCUUUUAUAUAUAAGAAUUUAUAAUUUAAAAAAUAGAACAGAAAUAAGGAAUGAAAAUUAUGAAUUUAUUAAAUCCAACAUUCCUCUCAACGUCAAGAUGUGUGAUACACACCAAUGAGUCUCACUUAAUCUAAAAGAAAUAUGACAAUUGAGUGAGAUGUCACCUCCUUUGGGUGUUGUAGAUGGAGGAGAAAUGAAUUUUAGUGAGUAUGUAGGACAAAUUAUUCUACACAAUCCUCUCACAGUCUCACAUGAGUGCGCAUAGGUACCAAACUACCAAUACCAUUAUAUGACAAGAUGUUAGAAAACAUAUUAAGAUUCUAUAUAAAGGACAAAGUUUUUGUCCAGAGUCCAAUCUAAAAAGAAAUUAACAUGAUUAUAUAUAUAGAAAAUCUAGUUAUUUGAUUAUAUUUUCUUUAUGUUCUUAACAUGCAUGUCAAAUUUUGUUUAAAUUAAAUAUUAAUUACUAUUUCUUUUGCUAUUAUAUUAAUUACUAUUUGAUCAAUAAACAUAUUUUCUAUGCAUAAUUUAAGGCUAUAAAAACUUGAAAUUUAAACAUUUGAUUGAUGAUAUAGCUACUAGUAAAUUUGCCAAAAUUCACAUCCAAUAAAAAUAGGAGGAAGAGUUUGGAGAGAAACUAUCAUUCUCUAAAAUUCUUAUAGUAACUCUAGUAUGGCGAUUAAAAUCUUAUUCAUUACAUAUUGAAAUGAGUGGAUUAGUAUCUACCUUAUCAUCAAAAUUCAAAGAAAUAUUAACUAUCACUGCUUUAAUAUUUCUUUAAAUUAUCAAUGGGCAAAAUUCAACCAUUUAUUUCAAAAUAGAUGGAUAUGAUUUUAAACAUUUUAUGACAAAGUUAAUCUAAAAACUCUAGAAGAUUGUCACCCCAAUCAUCCCCUUAGAAGCUUUUUACACUUUAUUUGGAAAAGUGGGAAUAUGAGGGAAGAGAAGAGAAACAAAGGAAAGAGUAACAUUUCCUUUGUUUUGCUAGCAAGAGAGAAGAGAAAAAAAGAAGAAAUCGAAUCACUUAAGCCCACAUUUUGGUUUCCCCUUUUUGCCUAAUUUGGGCGAAAAUUGAGAGAAACACCAUUUUAAAAAAAAAUUGCAGCAACAAAGUUUGACUUAUAAGUGCUUCAAAAUUAAAAAAUUUCCCAUUAGUUUGUAUUCCUAUUUUUACUUCAUAAGGGUAUAAAAAGUUAAAUAAAAAAAUAUAUCUUUCUUUCCAUUUCUCUUCCUUGCAAACCAAACAAAAUAAUUCUUCUUUUUUAUUUUCUAUUUCCCUCCCUAUUUCCAAACACAUACAAGAGAAGAGAAGCAUUUUCUUUUCAUUUUCCCUGGCCUUUCUUUUCCCUCAUUUCCAACCAAAUAAAGUGUCAAGGUUUUAUUAUUAUUAUUAUUUUAAUCUUUUGGGGUUAUGAUUAUAUAGAGGUUAGAUACCUCAUACACCUGUUAUACAGAAUAUCAUUUCUCUCCACGGCCACAGGGUUUAAGCAUUGUCCUCAUUGCUCAUCACUUCCCUCUUUCCUCAUUCAUGCUGAGGGUUUUAACACUCUUUACCUCUAAAACCCCUUAAACCCCAUUUCUUCUCUCUCUCUCUCUCUUUCACAAAUGGCACAAACCCCAUUUUCUCUGCUUCUCCUAAGACGCCUUUCUCUCUCCUCCCAAAACCCCAAACCCCCUCUCCCUUUCUCUCUCCUUAAACCCUUUUCUUCUUCUUCUUCUUCUUCUUCUUCUUCUUCUUCUUCUUCAGAACCACCUCCUCCUCCAAAACCCUCCUCUCUCUCCGCCCGCCUCAGCUUCGUCUUUGACCAAAUCGACAACAUCGAAAAACAGCAGCAGUCCCUCCUCUCCCAAAAGGACCAAACCCUCCAACGCAUCCGCGCUUGGCGCCAAUCCAGAAACCCCCAAAUUGACCGCCCACCUCAUCCCCAAUCGCAACUAGGGUUGGGGCUUGAUAGCAGCAGUGGUAAUGCCGAUUUGGGAUUGGAGGUUGCGAAUGAGAAGGUGAAGAAGAAGGAAGGGAUAGCGGUGGAGGUGGUGCAUCCAUGGCCUGAGUGGAUUGAGCUCAUGGAGAGGUUGGUGGGGCAGAAUUACUUUGAUCAUAGGAGGAAGGACGAGGACAGAAUGGUUAAAGAGCUGGGCCUCGAUGCUUCGGAGACAGUUACAGUUGAAGAUGAGGAUUUGGGGAUUGAUUUUAAGGAUUUCAAGGCAGUGCACACGGCGUGCAUCAAUUUCGGGAAGGACCGGUUCGAUAUUUUGAGGUUUGUGAGUUCAAAUAUUUUUAUUUGGAAUAUGAAAUUUUGAAUUUUUUUGGUGUUUGGUUUGAAAAUGAUGAUUGUGUGUGUAUGUUGUGGGAAAUGUGGAUGUUGAUGAUGAUGAUUAUGAGAUAAUUUUGAAGAAAUUAUUAGAAUGAUAAGGUUAUUAUUGACUAAGUGAGCAUUUGGAUUAUGAAUAGAAUUGGUUUAGUCUAUGGGAAUGUUGAAUUGUGCAGAAAUGGAUUUGGUAUGGAGUUCAGGUUUUCUUUGGUUUUGAAAUUUUGGGUUUUGAGUGUUCUGUGGAAAUGCUUUUGUGGGUUUUUGGUUUAUGGAAUUUUAUUUAUAGUUUGGUUGAUUGCUGUUGGUUUUUAUGAAUCGUAUCAAAUGGCUUUAUACUGUGAUCACCUUUUAGGGAAAUGAUCAUGAUGCUAAUAAGUGUCCUUUAGGUUGAUUUGAUCCAUUCCAUGCUUGCUGUCGCUAAAAGUAACCAUGCUGUUUCUUGUGGCAGUUAAUGUAGGGAAAGAGACAAUCCCAGCUUUUAAGUCUUAGAAGUUUAAUGUUGUUCAUGAAAUAGAACAACUUAAAUCAUAUAAAUCAAAGUGAGUUUCCAGUUUCCACUAGUUCAGUUGAUAAAGUUUCCUGUCAUCAGUCAUCACACAUUAGACUUGAGAUUGAAUCCCGCUUACACUAGGGGUGAGGGUUAAGGGAAGGAAGAGUUCUACCACCUCUUGUGUGUCUCACAGAACUAAUGAUCCUUCGAAUGGGACCAAAAGAAAAAAGUCUGUCUUCAUUUUUUCCACAACCAAUUUGAAGGAAAAGUAAAAGGAUGAUAGGCCCCUUUUAGUUGAUUAGUAUUGGACUAAGGUACUGAACCCACCUAAGUGCCCAAUUUAUUUUCUAGGACUCUAUUAAUGCAUGUGAUAGAUAACAAUAAUGAAAUUAAUACCACUUUGCUUUGCAAGUGCUGAGACAGAAAAUUAAUUUCAGGUCCUUGUCAAGACAGGACAUUCAAAUUCUGGUUGGUUUUGGAUGCCCAAGUGCAGACAAAAAGGUGGUUUUCUCUGCAAAACUGUUAAGGAAGCACGUCCACCUUGAUGAAGGAGAUGUGAGUGUUACUUUCUUACCUUAUUAUGUGUUGAGUGUAUUGGUUGCCAAUUUCAUGCAAAACUUGAGUUAAUUACUGACAUACUGUUGCCUCUCCUUUCCCACCCUCCCUAUCCUCGUUUGUUGCUUAGUAUUUGAAGGCUUUACCUCUUUUUUUGGAUUCUUGAUGCUCACAGUAUGCUCUUAUUUUACAACCUGCAUAGUUAGACAUAAUUGCUAUUGUUAGUUCCAAGAAUAUUAUGUUCUUAAGUUUAGGAUGUUCGUGUCAUGGAUUUAAAACAACCAACCUUUAAAAAGAUAUUGAACUGCUAAUGUAGUAUGUCCUUUGCUCUGCCUUCUAAUUUAGUCGAAUAAAAAAAAACAAGCUUUUAUAUACAUAGCCAUUAAUAUUUUUAUGGCAGUGAUCAGAUAUGAGGCAGUCUAUUGAUUUUCCUUCCUUAAUCGUCUAUGUACUUUUUUUUUUCUAAGUUCUAAUCUUUCCAGUUUCAUUGCCUCAUCCCUCGUACUCAUUUAUAUAUGUUUAUGAUUGAAUAUUUUAUUAUAUAAGUGCAUUUUGGAUAAUGGCAAUUCGUAUGUCAGGUUUGCAGCUCCUGCAGUUUGAGGAACUCCUGUGACAGAGCAUAUUUGGUUACGAAUAAAGAGGAUGAGGCACGAACUAUUGAUGUUAUGCGUGUUCUAUUGACUUUUGGUUUUGACCCUGUGAAUGGAUCAAUAGUCAACAAGGAUAUUCUGAAACAAAAGUCUGUCAAGACUGUUGUUCGUAAGUUGCUUCACGAGGUUGUCAAAUUGAGCUCAGUUCCUAUAGACCCAAAUCUUCCUCCGCCAGUAAUUAAAAAGCCUCCACCCAAAGUCAAGCAGCCUCCUCCUCCUCCAAGGAAACGUGUUGGACGCGAUGAUGUUGAGAUGAAAAAAGGAGACUGGCUGUGUCCUAAGUAUGUCUUACCUAAGAAUUUUUUUAUCUUGUCAUGGCCAGGCAAAUUUAUUGUGUUCUGUUAUCAAUCAAAGGGUUUUAAUUUUUUCUGAGGAUGCAUAUAAAUUCCUGUGAAAUUUUAUUUAAAAAUUAUCUACCUGCUUUUUUUGGCUGUUUUGUGCAACUAUGUCAAAGUGAUUUUACACAUGAUUAGAAAUAUCUGCAACCCAUGACAAAAUGCUUUCAAGGUAGAUCCUUACCAACAAUUAAGGAUGCUGAUACUUGCUGAUCUCAGGUGUGACUUCUUGAAUUUUGCAAAGAAUACUGUGUGCCUACAAUGUGAUGCCAAACGUCCAAAGAGACAGCUGCUUCCAGGAGAAUGGGAAUGCCCUGAGUAAGAUUUUACUCCAUGACUAUGUUUUUUCCCCUUGUUGCUGAUAUUAACUUGAAAAUAAUUCAAAGAUUGGUUGGCUUUUUGGAAGUCUCUUUGUUAUCUGUGAUAUGAUUGAAUAUUAUUAUAUGCAGUUCAUGUACACCAUAUAGUUUUAGGUUCAUUGGGGGUGCAUGCAAGGGCUUCACAAUUUUUUAUUGGUUUGAUAAGAGUGUAAUUAAAUACAAUUUGGUCAGAAUUUUAGAGUUACAAUAUAAAUUUUGACUUUUUCUGCAUCAUCUGCCUACUUGAUUCUAAGUCCUUUAUUAAAAAAAUAAUAACUAUAUAAAAUAAAAUUAUAAAAAAAAAUGCUGAACUUAAUGCAAUGGAGUGCAUGGCUAUAUUAUAUUAAAGAUGAACAUCUAUACUUAUACAUAGCCAGCGAUAAUGAAGAGUUUAUUGCAUCCCUUUAUUGUUGAUUUUGUAUGUGGCAGGUGCAACUUCUUAAAUUAUAGGAGGAAUAUGGCAUGUUUUCAUUGUGAAUGCAAGCGCCCACCUGAUGAACUUAUGGAGGACAGAAUGCAAGAAAGGCAACAUGGUCCUAGGACAAGGUUGGAGAAGACUGCUAACCGGCAAGAGGUUUCUAAUGCCUGGAAUUUUGAUUUUGAUGACAAUGAAUCGGACGGGGCAGAUGUUGCUGCUUUUGAGUAUGCAGAUUCUCCCAGGAUGGCUGAAAAUUCUCCUUUAGAUAGCCACGCUCAGAGAGGAAAUUUCAGAGGGCCUGAAGGUGAUUUUAAUAGGUCUAGCAGUGUCCCAAGGGUCCAUGAAAAAGAAUAUUCUGAUGGUGAUACUCAUGGAGCUCGGGUGGGGUUUGAUGAUUUUGAUGAUGAAGAAGAUGAUAUUGAUAGCUACGAGCUUGAUACUCAUAACAAUUCAGCACGGAAGGCUUCUUCAAAUGAAUUUUCUGAGGUAGAAGGGUACUCUGGAUCAGAAGAUUUUGAAGGCAUUGGUAAUGGCAUGGCUGCUCGUCAUAGAACGAGUUCUCCAUCUUACAGUAAGUCAUCCAAGCCAACACGUAGAAAAGCUGCUUUCUCAGGCUCUGAGGAUGAUGGACUUGAUUUGGAUUCAGAUGAAGAUCUUUCAGUUCAUCCCAACUGGAAAUCUAGUCAUGUUGCUAAUUCUAGACAAAGAAGUAGAGGCAGAGGUAAAGCAGGUCCAUCCAAGGAUUUAAGCUUUGGUUCUGAUGAGGAGCUUGGCCUCGACUCUGAUGUGGAUGAUGAUUUAGAUAGAAAUUUUAAUUCCAGGAAAAAUAAAGGGAAUAAAUUUGGUUCUGGGAGAAGGGAUUUCCAGAGGAAAGGAAGUUAUGAUAGUGAAGAUGGUCUCUUUUCUGGUUCGGAAUUGGAUGAUGAUAAUGUACGAUCUGCUAGAAAUAGAUUUAGAGGGAAUAAUGUAGAAUCUGAUAGAAGACAAAAUAAUUCUCAAGGUCGUGCCAAUCAUAACUUCACAAGAGACACAAAAUUUCGAUCUGCUGGUAAGAUGAGUGGUAGAAGGAACUCAUUCAAUGAUGAUUUUGAUGAACCAUCACAAGGGUCUCGAGGUAAUAAGAGAGGAUCUCAAAGGACUCCUCGUGAAGGGUGGAGAAAGAAUGACAGAGGGGGUGAUAUGCAGAAUUUUAAGGGGCGUAGAAGAGAAGAUAGUUUUGGGAAGCAGCAACAUGGAAGGUUUGGUGAAUAUGAUAGGGACAUGGGCAGGGAUUUCGUUGAAUUUAAAAACAGUAGGCGUGUUAUAGAAAGAUAG